GGGGACGUUGUUGAGAUUCACAUGGAUCAGUCUUCAAAAAAACCGGCAAUCAGACAGAAUGUUGUGCAAGAGUCUAUUGAUGCUAAGAGCAAUGGUGCAGAUGUCGAGCCAACAUUUUCUGUUGGGAAAUCACCUCUGCAGGGUGGUCAGAUUGGUGAUGUGCUGGCUUCUGGAGCUGGUGGACUGGGACAGGGUACUCCAAAGAGUGAGAGGUCGGCUGACAUGUUUUGUGACGAUAUAUUUGGAGAAUCGCCUGCUGGCAUCAGGAAGAUGGGCAAAGGAGAUGGUGUGGCAGUUGAGCGCAGUGGCCUUCAUGAUAACUGGGAUGAUCCCGAAGGGUAUUAUAGUUAUCGGUUCGGAGAAAUUCUUGAUGGCCGUUACGAGAUCGUUGCUGCUCAUGGUAAAGGAGUCUUUUCUACUGUUGUCCGCGCUAAAGAUCUCAAGGCUAGACCUGGUGACCCUGAGGAAGUAGCAAUUAAAAUGAUACGCAAUAAUGAAACAAUGUAUAAAGCUGGUAUGGAAGAGUUGGUCAUACUGAAAAAACUAGUUGGUGCAGAUCCUGAAGACAAGCGCCACUGUGUUCGUUUUAUUUCUAGCUUCAAGUACCGGAAUCAUCUCUGUUUGGUUUUUGAGUCUCUUCAUAUGAAUCUCCGGGAGGUUUUGAAGAAGUUUGGACGUAACAUUGGACUCAAACUCACUGCUGUGAGGACGUACGCAAAGCAACUUUUCAUUGCUUUGAAGCAUUUAAAAAAUUGUGGUGUGCUUCAUUGUGAUAUUAAAC
rnacentral:misc_RNA from 1 species